rnacentral:misc_RNA from 1 species
UCAAACUUGGUCAUUUAGAGGAAGUAAAAGUCGUAACAAGGUCUCCGUUGGUGAACCAGCGGAGGGAUCAUUACCGAGUGUAAAAACUCCCAAACCCAUGUGAACUUACCACUUGUUGCCUCGGCAGGGCCCUUCCCGGGCGGUCUCCGGACCUCCGGCUAGGCGGCCUGCCGGCGGACUAUCAAACUCUUGUUAUUUUUGUGGAACUCUGAGUUACAAAACAAAAUAAUCAAAACUUUCAACAACGGAUCUCUUGGUUCUGGCAUCGAUGAAGAACGCAGC